rnacentral:rRNA from 1 species
GCAGUCCUACGGGGCGCAGCAGUGGGGGAUAUUGGACAAUGGGGGAAACCCUGAUCCAGCGACGCCGCGUGAGUGAAGAAGUAUUUCGGUAUGUAAAGCUCUGUCAGCAGGGAAGAAAGCAAUGACGGUACCUGACCAAGAAGCCCCGGCUAACUACGUGCCAGCAGCCGCGGUAAUACGUAGGGGGCAAGCGUUAUCCGGAUUUAUUGGGUUUAAAGGGUGCGUAGGCGGGCAUUUAAGCCGGCGGUCAA